rnacentral:lncRNA from 1 species
GCCGAUUUCACCUCGUUUCACGGUAAGAACAACAAGGGCGACACUGGCGACAUCUAGUAAUCAGUUUUUAAAUCUUAAAUUUGUUGCACAGUCACAUCAAGCACAGACAUCACAUGACAGUAGGACACGUCGUUCGUUAUUUCAAAUUUCAAAACAAAUUAAAAAGUUAACAACGGAGAUUGGAUAAUAAAUAAUUUCAGCUUUCAGCAGUUCUCAUAUAACCUGGCCAACUAGGUGCUCGUGACAAUAGAAAUGAAAUGGUCUAAUCCAAUAAUGCAAGCUCACAACCUAUGUCUUCUGAAGCAAAAUAAUUUCUGUUGCAAGGUAUAUUACCAAAAUUAUUUUUAAUUACUGUGUUCUUUAAGGCAUUAAUGUUCACGUUAAUUUUUCCCUGAGUUGUAAAUAUUCAAGAUAUUGAUGCCUUCGCUACUAAGGCUCUUCUCUACUUUCUCUUCUCUGACUCUCCACAGUCCACACCCUCUUCCAUACCCCUGCCUGAACUCCUGAAGACAAGACUCUGAAAACUUAAAUAUCAAUCUGACGCCUGGUGAAACAACAGAAUUUAACUUUUGUAAGUGGUUUUUCUGAAAUCUUGUUAUGUAAUACCAUUAUUUGAUAGGUUCUUCAUGGCAUGUAAUUUUCGACUUAGAGAUUUGUGAAAAUAGUUAAAUUGAAAGUGCAAAAUGCAAGAAAUAGAUCUAAAAUAUCAGAUAAUAAGUUAUUAACUCGUUUUAUUCAUCCACAAGCAAAGGUUGUUAAUCGAUGCAAACGAAAGACAAGUAACAAUACGACAAAUUUCGGAAGUUAGUGUAGACGCCAAAAAGGAAAACAAUUUAAUUCAGUAUCGAAACGAACUAGUGCUGCAAAACCAUAGACUGAAGCGUCACAGGUAAACAUUCCCAGGGGAGUUGAUUCCUUCGAGCUUCUUUCGCUGCGAUGCAAGAUAACGGACGAACACCCUGCGAGAAAUUGCCUACCAGUCGGCUUAAUUCGGCAUUUGGAUACCGCGAAAGAAGAGCUUGAAUACGCUCCAAUGCUGAUUGGCCACUUAAAUUAACUUGUUCGUCAUGAAAUCUUUCAUGCAAGAUAAGUCGAACGAUCGAAGUGAAGUUUUCAGCACGAGUAGAAUACGAAGGAUCGUCCCACAUAUGAGAGGAGAAAUGUUCACUAUUUGCCAGCAGAUGAAGAGGGCUGCAGCGUUGUUGAUCUACAGCGUUGGGAUCCGCUCCUGCUUUCAGCAACAACUUGAUAAGCUUGAACUCGUUGGGUGUUCCUUGGUGCGACGUGCAUACUCUAAGCAAGAGGUUCGGUUUUAGAGAUACCCGCUUGAGUUCAAAGAUGUUGAUGUAUACUUCUAGCUGACUCUUCAAUCGCUUGCUUUCACUCUUCGAUUUCGGAAUUGACACCAGCAGUUUGAGAAUAACAAGAAUCAGCUGUGAAAUUUCUUCAAGCUUGUCGGCUUUUGAUUUGAUCGUAUAAUCUUUGAUUUUGAUUUGAUCAUUUCGAGCGUCAUCGUAAACUUUCACCUGGUAUACGAAAGAGAAAACCAGAGAAGUCAUCAAAUUGUCGUAUGUCAAUACUGCAGCCAGUUCUGUUUGAUUCUUGACUGGGUCCCUCAGGGUGUUGAAGAAUUCGGUGAACGUUGAGUGUACGACAUCUUCUAAGUCAGUUUCAUUCUUUACAAGUAGAUCCAAAAACUUUGUUUUACCAAAGAUCUCGAAAAGGUGGAGCGAUGUUGUGAAAGCGCGGGGCCGAGGGACGUUCCGGUCUCCCCAUCCUUGAAGUGCGAAUUUGAACAAAUUGUAGGCAAAAAAUCUAUUCGGAUAGCAGUCACACUUCUUCGAUAUACGUAGACAAGUGAAGAUUGCCUGAGUCGCCCAGUGCGUUCGCCUCUGCCGAAGCAAUCCUUCCAGUUCUUGAACAGUUUGGAAUUCAAGUUUUUUCCUCAUAGCAAGUUUUAGGUUUUCAGAUUGAAGAAUAGUAGACUUCGGAAUGGCAUUGCCUUCUCGCAGAUUCGUGGCUUUAUACCAGCAGCUCCAGCCGUAUCUUCGAGCUUUAGCGUUCCCAUAAAAAACACACGCAGCGCCGACCAGCUCCAGUACUUCAAUGAGCUGCUCUGUAUCAGCGUCCUGUGGUAGAAUCAUACAAUCUGGAUUUUUUGUUUUCUCUUCUUUUUUCAUGAGGUUGAUGUCUGGGUACUUCUUCUUGAGGAUAUGAAAGAUCUGGUCUGAAAUAGUGGUGUCAGAUAGGGCAGGAAUGAAUACUAAUCUCCACUGUUCACUCAACGGGAAGUUGCCAGUAACUUGUUCGACAAAAUACUUCAAGAAAGCCACAUUCUGGUUUUCAACUUCAAGCAGAAGAGAUUCAACAUCAUUCUUCCUUUUCUUAGCAGGAUUACUAUGUUCCUGACAUUCAGGUGUCACAUCAUCAGCUUUCCUUUUAGAACCCAUGUUCUUCCGUGCUUUGGGUUGAUCAGACGGUCUGUAGUCAGUACUGUUCUGAUAAAUUUAA